rnacentral:rRNA from 1 species
CCUACGGGCGGCAGCAGUGGGGAAUAUUGGACAAUGGGGGCAACCCUGAUCCAGCCAUGCCGCGUGUGUGAAGAAGGCCCUCGGGUUGUAAAGCACUUUCAGUGAGGAAGAACGCCUGGUGGUUAAUACCCAUCAGGAAAGACAUCACUCACAGAAGAAGCACCGGCUAACUCCGUGCCAGCAGCCGCGGUAAUACGGAGGGUGCGAGCGUUAAUCGGAAUUACUGGGCGUAAAGCGCGCGUAGGUGGCUUGAUAAGCCGGUUGUGAAAGCCCCGGGCUCAACCUGGGAACGGCAUCCGGAACUGUCAAGCUAGAGUGCAGGAGAGGAAGGUAGAAUUCCCGGAGUAGCGGUGAAAUGCGUAGAGAUCGGGAGGAAUACCAGUGGCGAAGGCGGCCUUCUGGACUGACACUGACACUGAGGUGCGAAAGCGUGGGUAGCAAACAGGAUUAGAUACCCUAGUAGUC